ACUAUUGGGAUUAGAAUUAGCUGGAAUUGCAGUUAAGUCUCUAAGUUAUUUUGGGGAGAAUCUACAUUGCUACAAUACCAAGUCUUACCAGCUGUCAUGAAGUGGCCAGAAUUCCUGCACCAAGCCUUUCUGCCAUGAUGUUCUGCCUCACCUCAAGCUUAAGCAAUGGAGCCAGCCACCCACGGACCAGAGCCUCUGAAACCAUGAGCCGAAGCAAAUCUUUCCUUUUGUUGUUAUUCUCAGGGAAGAAUCCUAACUUGCUUGAAGAUGACUUGGUGUUGCUAAAGGUAACGACAUCAGACUCGUGGCUCGUGACUACACUUGGACUCCUGUUGUGGAUGCUCUAAGCAAGGACAAGCACAGAGGGUUUCCAGCUUCCAGGGAGAUGCGUGCACACACGUUCACAUGUGUUUUUCUAACAAGGUAUAACUGGGUUCCCUCCCCUACUAGGCAACCACUGUUUUGCUUUCCAUCACUACACAUUGCUUUGUACUUUACAGAAUUUUAUAUAAUAGUCAUCACACAGUGUCCAUCCUUUUUGCCUGGAUUCUUUCACCCAGCAUAAAUUAUUUUGAGAUUCAUCUGUGUUGUUAUUUUCUCACUAAGUCAUGCCCCACUGGUCUGGAUAUAAAAAUGUCUUUAGCUAGGUGGGCGAUCUGAAGAUUUUUGACUAUUGAACUUGUUUUAUGGCUACCUAUUAGGUGUGAGGCAGUAUCUUACUGUGGUUUUGACUGGGAUUUCACUAAUGAUUAGCA